AUUGAACGCUGGCGGCAUGCCUUACACAUGCAAGUCGAACGGCAGCGGGGGAGAAGCUUGCUUUUCCUGCCGGCGAGUGGCGAACGGGUGAGUAAUACAUCGGAACGUGCCCUGUAGUGGGGAUAACUAGUCGAAAGAUUAGCUAAUACCGCAUACGACCUGAGGGUGAAAGUGGGGGACCGCAAGGCCUCAUGCUAUAGGAGCGGCCGAUGUCUGAUUAGCUAGUUGGUGGGGUAAAGGCCUACCAAGGCGACGAUCAGUAGCUGGUCUGAGAGGACGAUCAGCCACACUGGGACUGAGACACGGCCCAGACUCCUACGGGAGGCAGCAGUGGGGAAUUUUGGACAAUGGGCGAAAGCCUGAUCCAGCAAUGCCGCGUGUGUGAAGAAGGCAUUCGGGUUGUAAAGCACUUUUGUCCGGAAAGAAAUGGCUCUGGUUAACACCUGGGGUCGAUGACGGUACCGGAAGAAUAAGGACCGGCUAACUACGUGCCAGCCGCCGCGGUAA
rnacentral:rRNA from 1 species